GAUGAACGCUGACAGAAGGCUUAACACAUGCAAGUCGACUUGAAUCAGGGUUGUUAAUUUAGGUUUGGGUGGCGGACGGGUGAGUAACGCGUAAAGAACUUGCCUCACAGCUAGGGACAACAGGUUGAAACGAAUGCUAAUACCUAAUAUUAUGAUAAUAGGGCAUCCUAUAAUUAUGAAAGCUAUAAGCGCUGUGAGAGAGCUUUGCGUCCCAUUAGCUAGUUGGAGAGGUAACGGCUCACGAAGGCGAUGAUGGGUAGCCGGCCUGAGAGGGUGAUCGGCCACAAGGGAAAUGAGACACGGCCCUUACUGCUACGGAAGGCAGCAGUGGGGAAUAUUCGACAAUGGACCAAGAGUCUGAUCCAGCAAUUCUGUGUGCACGAUUAAGUUUUUCGGAAUGUAAAGUGGUUUCAGUUGCGAAGAAAGAAAUGACGGUACCAACAGAAGAAGUGACGGCUAAAUACGUG
rnacentral:rRNA from 1 species